rnacentral:rRNA from 1 species
GACGAACGCUGGCGGCGUGCUUAACACAUGCAAGUCGAACGGAAAGGCCCUGCUUUUGUGGGGUGCUCGAGUGGCGAACGGGUGAGUAACACGUGAGUAACCUGCCCUUGACUUUGGGAUAACUUCAGGAAACUGGGGCUAAUACCGGAUAGGAGCUCCUGCUGCAUGGUGGGGGUUGGAAAGUUUCGGCGGUUGGGGAUGGACUCGCGGCUUAUCAGCUUGUUGGUGGGGUAGUGGCUUACCAAGGCUUUGACGGGUAGCCGGCCUGAGAGGGUGACCGGCCACAUUGGGACUGAGAUACGGCCCAGACUCCUACGGGAGGCAGCAGUGGGGAAUAUUGCACAAUGGGCGGAAGCCUGAUGCAGCAACGCCGCGUGCGGGAUGACGGCCUUCGGGAUGUAAACCGCUUUCGCCUGUGACGAAGCGUGAGGGACGGUAAUGGGUAAAGAAGCACCGGCGAACUACGU